AUUUUCUCAGCAAGACCCCCCUAAUUUUCUCUCUUCAAAUCUUCGAUUCCUCAGAUAUUUUCUCGAGAAAAUCUAACCGGAGGUGUUCUUGUGCUUGUGCGAGUAAUUGUAUGUUUUGGCAUAAUAAUCUGAAGAUGGUACCUGAAGCAGCAGAGGUCGUUGUUGUUCAACAGAGCGUCGUCCCAGUCUUGGACGUUCAAUUCAG
rnacentral:misc_RNA from 1 species